CUUGACGACCAUAGAGCAUUGGAACCACCUGAUCCCAUCCCGAACUCAGUAGUGAAACGAUGCAUCGCCGAUGGUAGUGUGGGGUUUCCCCAUGUGAGAGUAGGUCAUCGUCAAGCACCUACACCAAAACCCCCGAUCAGGAAACUGAUCGGGGGUUUUACU
rnacentral:rRNA from 1 species